rnacentral:pre_miRNA from 1 species
AAGCUACUCCCUCCGUUCGGAAUUACUCGUCCAAGAAAUGAAUGUAUUUAGAUGUAUUUUAGUUGUAGAUACAUCCAUUUUUAUCCAUUUUUGUGACAAGUAAUUCCGAACGGAGGGAGUAGUAU